CCAAAUAAAUAAAUGAGGAAAUCUGGGUCUAAUAAAUAAAUGAACUCCAGCCCAAUAUUCUCCAAUAAAAUCAGCCCAAGUUAAAAGAAUUACAAGGUCCAAAAGGUGGCCCAACUCCUCUCCCCCUCCUCUUCCAAAAUUGGUUCAGCCUUCGUUCUCUCUUCCUCAAUUCACGGUUGGAACUUGGAACCCUCUUUCUCACUCAUCUCACAAUCUGCCGCACCACACUGAAAAUCCGGCGAGGCUGUGCCGGUCAUCUCCCUUCGCCGCUUGCUCUUUGUCCACCAUCAUCUCAGAAAACACCAAUCGAUGCCAAAAAGGGGCGAGCCCUACACCUGCCCCAAGAAAUCAGCCACCGCCGCCGCCGCCGUCUUGCAUUCCAGUGAGGCCGGCGCCGCUCUUUGGCCUGUGCCGUAAAUCUCCCUUCACAAAUUGCGGCUGAGCCCUAAAUCUCCUCUCAUUUUCUCUCGCUCUGACUUUUCGGGGAGUGCCAAAUCGAGCCCUAGCUUUAGUUUAUCAAAAUCGCUGCUGCCGCUGCUGGAUUUCCGAUGAGCCGACGUUGCCGCUAAUGCUCUCAAUCUCACAAUUCGUGCCCUGGAUCUUCAAAAUGUUACACCUCUGGGAUCUCCGCCGCCAUUAGCUCAGGCGAGCCUGGCUGUUGUCGCCUCUGAAAUUGGUGAGGCCAUCACCGCUCCCUGCUCUCAUCCACACGUUUGUGCAGACACGACGAAGGCAAGGGUCGAGCCCUGACCUCUCGGCUCUGGCGAAAUCGACGCUCUGGUUCGACGCUGCCCGGGUUUGUUCGAUGUGUCGUCGUGCCGUCGGCUUUGGCUCCGCGAAGCGCCCCUCUUCUUCUCCUUCGCAGUCAGCCAUCGUCAAAGUUUUCUCCCCCACUCAAGAAAGAAACGGGUACAAUAAAAAGCCCCUCCCUCUAAAAUGCUAAGUUCAGUCAUACUAUGCAAAUCGGCUUUCUUGAGCAAGGGAACUAUGAAAUACUAGCAUUCUAUUUCUAUAACAUAUCAUAGCUCAUUAUAUAUCACAGAAACAAAUGGUUUGCUAUAUUUGCUAUGUCCAUUUAUGCAUAUGUAGGUUCUCUACCAUUCUGUAUUUCUAAUUGAACCGAAGCAUGCGUAUGCUGGUAUUAAUCAUGUAACAUGAACAAGCAUAUGAGAUAGUGAAUACCUUGAUUGUAUUGUUCUUUUGAUUGGAUGGCUGUUGUGUUGCUAUCGAUUUCAGUGGAUAAAGAGCUCUUAGAAGAAUUCCAGGCAACAAUUCAUCAAACUUCUCUCUUCUCCAACUGUUGGGUGAAGGAGGAAAGAAAAUACUCCCUCCGUCCCGGCCAAGACGCAAUAUUUGCUUUUCGACACGAGAUUUAAGGAAUUGUAGAUUAAUGUUUUAAGUGUGUAAUAAUAAAGUAAUAAAGUAGGAGAGAGAAAGUAAUAAAGUGAUAAAGUAAGAAAGAGAAGGUAAUAAAGUGAUAAAGUAGGAGAGAGAAUGUAAUAAAGAAAUACUUAAUUAGGAUUAAUUAAGUGUUUAAAACUCCUUAUUUUUGCCAAAGCGGGACAGAGGGAGUAUAUUGAUUGGGAUACAGGAGGAGGGUGUAGGCUGAAAAAUUGAGUGCCUGCGCCUCAAAAGAGCUUGGAGGAGAUGGCCUAUAGAUGUAGGGGGUGUGGCAGCUUAAUAGUGUAGGAAAUUUGUGAGGCGACUAGUUAAAUCUCUCAGUCAUUGUAUCAAUUGCAUAUCUGCAAAUUUGGAUAUGUAAUUAUCCAUUCUUCUAUUUCUAAAUAACGAUGUUACAUUAUGAAAUUUCUAGGAAUCAAUCUCUAAUAAAUUUCGUA
rnacentral:lncRNA from 1 species